UACGGGGGGGGCAAGCGUUGUUCGGAAUUACUGGGCGUAAAGGGCUCGUAGGCGGCCAACUAAGUCGGAUGUGAAAUCCCCAGGCUCAACCUGGGAACUGCAUCCGAUACUGGAUGGCUUGAAUUCGGGAGAGGGAUGCGGAAUUCCAGGUGUAGCGGUGAAAUGCGUAGAUAUCUGGAGGAACACCGGUGGCGAAGGCGGCAUCCUGGACCGGCAUUGACGCUGAGGAGCGAAAGCCAGGGGAGCAAACGGG
rnacentral:rRNA from 1 species